GAUGAACGCUGGCGGCGUGCCUAAUACAUGCAAGUAGAACGCUGAAGGAGGAGCUUGCUCUUCUGGAUGAGUUGCGAACGGGUGAGUAACGCGUAGGUAACCUGCCUGGUAGCGGGGGAUAACUAUUGGAAACGAUAGCUAAUACCGCAUGACAACAGUUAUUGCAUGAUAACUGUUUAAAAGGGGCAACUGCUCCACUACCAGAUGGACCUGCGUUGUAUUAGCUAGUUGGUGAGGUAACGGCUCACCAAGGCGACGAUACAUAGUCGACCUGAGAGGGUGAUCGGCCACACUGGGACUGAGACACGGCCCAGACUCCUACGGGAGGCAGCAGUAGGGAAUCUUCGGCAAUGGACGGAAGUCUGACCGAGCAACGCCGCGUGAGUGAAGAAGGUUUUCGGAUCGUAAAGCUCGGCUGUAAGAGAAGAACGAGUGUGAGAGUGGAAAGUUCACACUGUGACGGUAUCUUACCAGAAAGGGACGGCUAACUACGUG
rnacentral:rRNA from 1 species